UACGUAGGGUGCGAGCGUUAAUCGGAAUUACUGGGCGUAAAGCGUGCGCAGGCGGUUCGUUGUGUCGGCGGGGAAAGCCCCGGGCUCAACCUGGGAAUUGCAUUUGAGACUGCGUAGCUAGGGUGCGGAAGAGGGAAGCGGAAUUUCCGGUGUAGCGGUGAAAUGCGUAGAUAUCGGAAGGAACACCAGUGGCGAAAGCGGCUUCCUGGUCCAGCACCGACGUUCAGGCACGAAAGCGUGGGGAGCAAACAGG
rnacentral:rRNA from 1 species